rnacentral:rRNA from 1 species
GAUGAACGCUGACAGAAUGCUUAACACAUGCAAGUCGAUGGGGAAGUGGUGCUUGCACCAUGGUAACCAUGGCGGACGGGUGAGUAACGCGUAAGGAACUUACCUGCGGGACCGGGAUAACAGCAGGAAACUGCUGACAAGACCGGAUAAGGUCAUUAAGCUGCAUAGCUUAGUGAUGAAAGGAGACGCCUGCGGAGAGCCUUGCGUCCUAUUAGCUAGUUGGAGGGGUAACGGCCCACCAAGGCGAAGAUAGGUAGCCGGCCUGAGGGGGUGGACGGCCACAAGGGGACUGAGAUACGGCCCUUACUCCUACGGGAGGCAGCAGUGGGGAAUAUUGGACAAUGGGGGCAACCCUGAUCCAGCAAUUCUGUGUGCACGAAGACGGUUUUCGGAUUGUAAAGUGCUUUCAGCAGGGAAGAAGGAAGUGACGGUACCUGCAGAAGAAGCGACGGCUAAAUACGUG